UACGAAGGGGGCUAGCGUUGUUCGGAAUCACUGGGCGUAAAGGGCGCGUAGGUGGCUUUGUAAGUCGGGGGUGAAAGCCUGUGGCUCAACCACAGAAUUGCCUUCGAUACUGCAUGGCUUGAGACCGGAAGAGGUUAGUGGAACUGCGAGUGUAGAGGUGAAAUUCGUAGAUAUUCGCAAGAACACCAGUGGCGAAGGCGGCUGACUGGUCCGGUUCUGACGCUGAGGCGCGAAAGCGUGGGGAGCAAACAGG
rnacentral:rRNA from 1 species